rnacentral:lncRNA from 1 species
CCUCCAUGAUUAUGUUUGUGGGUUUUGUACCGAAAUUGGAUUUGUGCUCUUGAGAACUCACUGAAUGAGUUUUAUGCCCAAAAAUGGAUAUACCAUUCAGGGUAUUUGAUUGAGGGGUACACACCCAUGAUGGAUUUUGUAUCCAAUAUUUUGUAUCCAUUUCAAAGGAUUUUCUUUUGCUCGGCAGAGCUUUGUUAAACAGAAAUCCUCUCAUGGAUUUGUUG